GCCAUGGUGGUGCCAUCAGAUCCGUCAGCCUCAUGUUCUGGGGGAGGCAGUGCUGCUGCGGCCUAUGCCGUGACAGGGGGCACCUUUGGCAGCAGGAGUCUGUACAGCUUUGCAGGGAGAAAGAUCUCACUGAGGGUUGCUGGAGGUGCCGCCCAGGCUGGGGGCAGGUCACAGGGGUGCUGGGGGCAGGGCACAGGGGUGCUGGGGGCAGGGCACAGGGGUGCUGGGGCACCUUGGGAAGCAGUCUGUGUGGGGCUGAAGGAAGGGGAAUGAAAAGUGGCUUUGGAGGAAGCUCCUUCAGCAUUGGAGGGAGACCUGGUGGCUUUGGAGGACAGCCUUGAGGAGCCUCAGGCUUUGGAGGUUUGGGGGCCUUUCCCUUUGGCAUCCAGGAGGUGACCAUCAACCAGAGCCUCUGGUAGCCCCUGAACAUGGGGACUGACGCCUAGAUUGAGGUGAAGACCCAAGAGAAGGAACAGAUCAAGACCCUCAACAACAAAUUUUCCUCUUUCAUUGACAAGGUACGGUUGCUGGAGCAGCAGAACAAGGUGCUGGAGACCAAGUGAUGCUUCCUGUAGGAGCAAAUGGCCACCUCCAAUGACCUGCAGCCCUUCUUUGAAUCCUACAUUGGCUGCCUCCAGGCUCACCUUGACAAGCUACUGAUGGAGCGGGGUCGGCUGGAGGGGGAGCUGGGCACCAUGCAGGCGCUCGGGGAGGCAUACAAGAGGAGGUGAGAG
rnacentral:lncRNA from 1 species